UACGUAGGGUGCAAGCGUUAAUCGGAAUUACUGGGCGUAAAGCGUGCGCAGGCGGUUGUGCAAGACAGAUGUGAAAUCCCCGGGCUUAACCUGGGAACUGCAUUUGUGACUGCACGGCUAGAGUGUGUCAGAGGGGGGUAGAAUUCCACGUGUAGCAGUGAAAUGCGUAGAGAUGUGGAGGAGUACCGAUGGCGAAGGCAGCCCCCUGGGAUAACACUGACGCUCAUGCACGAAAGCGUGGGGAGCAAACAGG
rnacentral:rRNA from 1 species